rnacentral:rRNA from 1 species
UACGAAGGGGGCGAGCGUUGUUCGGAUUUACUGGGCGUAAAGGGCGCGUAGGCGGCCCUCUUUGUCGCGUGUGAAAGCCCCGGGCUCAACCUGGGAAUGGCGCGCGAUACGGGGGGGCUUGAGUUCUGGAGAGGAGCGUGGAAUUCCCAGUGUAGAGGUGAAAUUCGUAGAUAUUGGGAAGAACACCGGUGGCGAAGGCGGCGACCUGGUCCGAUACUGACGCUGAGGCGCGAAAGCGUGGGGAGCAAACAGG